rnacentral:lncRNA from 1 species
GAGACUGUAGAUUACUUUAAAUAAUGAAAUCUUUAAACAAAAAGUGAGUGGAUGUGAAAAUUUUGUCCACAUGAACCCUAUACCCAAGGCUGUCAAAAGCCAUUAUAAAAAACAUGGAUGUGGAAAUUCUAUCAAAGGACCACAUGUUAGGUCCACACAUAUAUUAACAUAUUAACAACACAACAACCAAAAUAAACAUUAUUUUUUAGGGUUUCCAAUUAUAAUUCCUUUAUUCUUUGCAUUUCCUGAAGGCACCCAAGCUCUCUUCUUUGUUGAAACACUUCCAUUAAUCUUUUGUUUUCCUUUGUCUGGUUUUGUUACUGUGCUAACUCCUUCAGCCCCAACA